UGCCAUCUUCGGGACGACAGAAUACAACAGAGUGAUCGAGAAGCUAAUCAAGAUAUCCAAGGAAUACAAUGAUCGACAAAAGGAGAAAGCAGGAGACUUGAAGCUACUGGAAAAUAUAAAAAGCCAGGCGGAGGUGAAACACCUUCAGCUCCAGAAGGUUGACAAAAGCAGGCAGGACAAACUCGCUGUAGUGGAUAGUCUGGAGAAUUCGUUGAAGCCAAUCUAUGAGCGUCUGGAUCAGAUUGCUAAAAUUGAGAGAGAUUUUUCAAAGCUGAAACAACAGGAAAUUGAGUUCAAAUCGAAGAUCAAUACUAAGGAAGAUCAGCAAAAUCAAAUACGAUCGAAGAUCCAAAAUCUGUUUAAAGGUUCAUUCCACGAGUUGGAAAUUGAAAUUCAAAAUUUCAAACAAUCCAAAAGUUCCAAAUUGUUGGAACUGCGAGAGGCUGAGUCAGAUUUUGAGCUCUCGCAAAGCUCAGGAGAAGGUGUUG